rnacentral:rRNA from 1 species
AUUGAACGCUGGCGGCAUGCCUUACACAUGCAAGUCGAACGGCAGCACGGGGCAACCUGGUGGCGAGUGGCGAACGGGUGAGUAAUACAUCGGAACGUGCCCAAUCGUGGGGGAUAACGUAGCGAAAGUUACGCUAAUACCGCAUACGAUCUACGGAUGAAAGCGGGGGAUCGCAAGACCUCGCGCGAAUGGAGCGGCCGAUGUCAGAUUAGGUAGUUGGGGGGGUAAAGGCUCACCAAGCCAACGAUCUGUAGCUGGUCUGAGAGGACGACCAGCAACACUGGGACUGAGACACGGCCCAGACUCCUACGGGAGGCAGCAGUGGGGAAUUUUGGACAAUGGGCGCAAGCCUGAUCCAGCCAUUCCGCGUGCAGGAUGAAGGCCUUCGGGUUGUAAACUGCUUUUGUACGGAACGAAACGGUUCUCUCUAAUACAGGGGGCUAAUGACGGUACCGUAAGAAUAAGCACCGGCUAACUACGUGCCAGCCGCCGCGGUAACAC